rnacentral:rRNA from 1 species
GAUGAACGCUGGCGGCGUGCUUAACACAUGCAAGUCGAACGGUUAAGGCGGACCUUCCUCUGCUUGCUCAGUGGCGAACGGGUGUGUUGCACGUGAGCAUUCUGCCCCUUGCUCUGUGAUAUGCGCUGGAAACGGCUUCUAAUACUUGAUACGAGCUGCGGAGGCAUCUUCAGCAGCUGAACAGAACUUCGGUCAUGGAUGGGCUGUCGGCGUAUCAGCUUGUUGGUGAGGUAUCGGCUCACCAAGGCAUCGACGGGUAGCCGGCCUGAGAGGUGGACCGGCGACACGGGGACUAAGGGACGGAGCAGAGUCGAACGGGAGGCAGCAGGGGGGAGUAUUGCACAACGGGCGAAAGCCUGAGGAAGAAACGCCGGGUGAGGGAAGACGGCCUAGGGGGUGUAAACCGCAUUAAGCAGGGAAGAAGCGAAAGUGACGGUACCAGCAGAAAAAGCGCCGGCUAACUACGUG